rnacentral:lncRNA from 1 species
AGGUGAAUGCAUCAUAUGCAAAAACUCUAAGUCUUGGCAAUGUACAUCUAUAUGUGUCAUUCCAAGACCCCCGCACAUCACAUGCACUGGAUUUCAAUUCUUUAAAAAAUUAGAUCAUGGGAUCUAAUCUAAAACUUGUCUCACAAGUCUAAAAAUCAUGAAAUUUACAUAUCUAAAGUUCGAUCAUGGAUUCAUAACACUU